UUGAAACUCAAGAGCAUGAAACCGGAAUCUCUCGUAAUCGUGGAUCAUUACGCCACGGUGAAUUAGUACAAGAGUCUCGUACAUACCGCCCGUCAUGCUAUGGAAACUAUUUAUUGUAGAAGUUGCAAG
rnacentral:rRNA from 1 species